rnacentral:rRNA from 1 species
GUAACGGCGGUCAUAGCGGUGGGGAAACGCCCGGUCCCAUCCCGAACCCGGAAGCUAAGCCCACCAGCGCCGAUGGUACUGCACUCGUGAGGGUGUGGGAGAGUAGGACGCCGCCGGACU